rnacentral:rRNA from 1 species
UACAGAGGGUGCGAGCGUUGUUCGGAAUUACUGGGCGUAAAGCGCGCGCAGGCGGCUCUUUAAGUCUGACGGUGAAAUGCCGGGGCUCAACCCCGAGCGUGCCGGAGAUACUGGAGGGCUGGAGACGAGUAGAGGCAAGCGGAAUUCCGGGUGUAGCGGUGGAAUGCGUAGAGAUCCGGAAGAACACCGGAGGCGAAGGCGGCUUGCUGGGCUCGGUCUGACGCUGAGGCGCGAAAGCGUGGGGAGCGGACAGG